rnacentral:rRNA from 1 species
UGAGUACGAGAUGCUACGGCAUCGAAGCAGUCUAUGUCAUACUUCCAAGAAAAGCUUGCACUGUCAUAAACAAAGAAUGCCUGUACCAUAACCGACACAGGUGGGUAGGUAGAGUAUACUAAGGGGCGCGAGAUAACUCUCUCUAAGGAACUCGGCAAAAUGACUCCGUAACUUCGGGAGAAGGAGUGCCUUAUUUCUAAGGUUGCAAUAACAAGAUCCAAGCAACUGUUUACCAAAAACACAGGUCUCCGCUAAGUCGUAAGACGAUGUAUGGGGGCUGACGCCUGCCCAGUGCCAGAAGGUUAAAGAAGUUGGUUAGCAUUAGCGAAGCUGAUAACUGAAGCCCUGGUGAACGGCGGCCGUAACCAUAACGGUCCUAAGGUAGCGAAAUUCCUUGUCGGGUAAGUUCCGACCCGCACGAAAGGCGUAAUGAUUUGGAUACUGUCUCGGAGAGGGGCUCGGUGAAAUAGACUUGUCUGUGAAGAUGCGGACUACCUGCACCUGGACAGAAAGACCCUAUGAAGCUUUACUGUAACUUGAGAUUGAAAUUGGACUUUAUUUGCGCAGUAUAGGUGGGAGGCGUUGAGAAUAAUCUUGCGGGAUUGUUGGAGUCAUCAGUGAGAUACCACUCUUGUAAUGUUAGAUUUUCUAACUUUGUAUCAUUAUCUGGUCAAAGAACAGUUUCAGGCGGGCAGUUUGACUGGGGCGGUCGCCCCCCAAAGGGUAACGGAGGCGCACAAAGGUUUCCUCUGAACGGGUAGAAAUCGUAUCUAGAGUGUAAAGGCAUAAGGAAGCUUGACUGUGAGACCUACAAGUCGAGCAGGGACGAAAGUCGGUCUUAGUGAUCUGACGGUGCUGAGUGGAAAGGCCGUCACUCAACGGAUAAAAGUUACUCUAGGAUAACAGGCUGAUCUCCCCCAAGAGUUCACAUCGACGGGGAGGUUUGGCACCUCGAUGUCGGCUCAUCGCAUCCUGGGGCGGUAGUCCGUCCCAAGGGUUGGGCUGUUCGCCCAUGAAAGCGGUACGCGAGCUGGGUUCAGAACGUCGUGAGACAGUUCGGUCCAUAUCCGGUGUAGGCGUUAGAAUAUUGAGAGGAGCCUUCUCUAGUACGAGAGGACCGAGAAGGACAUACCUCUGGUGUACCAGUUAUCGUGCCAACGGUAAACGCUGGGUAGCUAUGUAUGGAGUGGAUAACCGCUGAAAGCAUCUAAGUGGGAAGCCCACCUCAAGAUAAGUAUUCUCAU